CCUGACUUCCGGCCGCCAUUUUGGAUUGGAAAAAUGGCGGCAUUUUCAACUACGUUAACAGAUCCGCUCAAACCUCCAAGGAGGGAAUACCUGGCUCCAUUAGGCCAUUCACUUGUCCUUCUGGGUAGACUUCCUCCUCAGAAAUCCUUGUGGGACCUGAACACAUCCAAGGUUUCAGACUGUGAUGGACGCCAUGCAGACCUGGAGCUUCCUCCACAGUGAGAAAGAUGCAAGACCCUCAAGGUUACAGUCACAUAACCACAGACCUUCGCAUGGGUGGCUGCGGCUUGUGCGAGCGCGACGUCCCGGGACCCCUGCAGCAUGACGGACAUCUCUGAUAGACUCAUAUCACGCAUGACAGAGUAACCCAAGACGUGGCCUAAUUAGCAAGUAGGACCUGAAAGAGGCAGGAUGAAAAUCAAAACUUUAUUUAAACAGCACAAGCACCAUCAACUUUACCCCCGAGCUUAUUUAUUCAUGGGAUGAUAAGAAGACUUUGGAAACUGCAAGAUAUGCCAAGUUGUCCUCUUUUAACGCACUCAACGCAUUCACAGGCCACCCACCUGUGCAGGUAUUCCGCUAAUCCAGGCCAAGAAGCCUUGUCAGGUGGAAGAAAGUUUAUCUUAUCCCAGGGCAAACAUGACAGUGUGGGGGAGAGGAAGAGUAGCAGUAGUGAG